GGGGAAUUUUGCGCAAUGGACGAGAGUCUGACGCAGCAACGCCGCGUGGGUGAUGAAGGUCUUCGGACUGUAAAACCCUGUCGUCAGGGACGAAAGUAGCAGCGUUAAUAGCGUUGUUGCUUGACGGUACCUGGAGAGGAAGCCCCGGCUAACUCUGUGCCAGCAGCCGCGGUAAUACAGAGGGGGCAAGCGUUAUUCGGAAUUAUUGGGCGUAAAGGGCGCGUAGGCGGUUUUUUAAGUCAGAUGUGUAAUCCCCGGGCUCAACCUGGGAACUGCAUCUGAGACUGGAAGGCUAGAGUACUGGAGAGGGUGGUGGAAUUCCUCGUGUAGCGGUGAAAUGCGUAGAGAUGAGGAGGAACACCAGUGGCGAAGGCGGCCACCUGGACAGUAACUGACGCUGAGGCGCGAAAGUGUGGGUAGCAAAC
rnacentral:rRNA from 1 species